UGAUAGUUCUAAUAGCAUUAUGAAUUUUUUACAAAAAACCCACAAACGUACACAAACCACGUAAAUGGUAAAUGUAGUAAGACCACUUGCCUGUAAACCAGAAUGGUGUUCAGUAUAACCCUCCCACCUACCCAGGGACUACACAUUGGAUCGGCUAACGUUUUGUCCACACGGCACAUUUGGAUGAUGGCUUUGCACAAGUCAUAUCUCUAGGGUUGUAUCCAGUGGCCAUCAGUGAAGGGAUGAACUCAAGUAGGCUUGUUUCAAAGGAACUGCUAUGGAUCAAAAUUAGGAUGUAUCCAUCUCCCAGCGUAGGAGGCGGCUCUGGAGUGGGGUUUUUCUAUCCUCAAAAGAGGAACUGGCACGACGGAGAGGAUGGAAAUGACCCACAGAAGCCGUAGAACAGCAACGGAAGGAA